UGGGCAACCUACCCUUGACUCUGGGAUAACUCCGGGAAACCGAAGCUAAUACCGGAUAUGAACACGAAGGACAUCCUUUGUGUUGGAAAGUUUUUCGGUCAGGGAUGGGCCCGCGGCCUAUCAGCUUGUUGGUGGGGUGAUGGCCUACCAAGGCGACGACGGGUAGCCGGCCUGAGAGGGCGACCGGCCACACUGGGACUGAGACACGGCCCAGACUCCUACGGGAGGCA
rnacentral:rRNA from 1 species